rnacentral:tRNA from 1 species
GCGGCGGUGGCGGAAUUGGCAGACGCGCAGGACUUAGAAUCCUGUUCUGAAAAGAGUGGGGGUUCAAGUCCCUCCCGCCGCA